rnacentral:rRNA from 1 species
UACGUAGGGGGCAAGCGUUGUCCGGAAUCAUUGGGCGUAAAGAGCGUGUAGGUGGCUCGGUAAGUCCGCUGUGAAAGUCCAGGGCUCAACCCUGGAAAGCCGGUGGAAACUGUCGAGCUCGAGUCCGGAAGAGGCGAGUGGAAUUCCUGGUGUAGCGGUGAAAAUGCGCAGAUAUCAGGAGGAACACCAAUGGCGAAGGCAGCUCGCUGGGACGGUACUGACACUGAGACGCGAAAGCGUGGG